UACGUAGGGGCCUAGCGUUGUCCGGAUUUAUUGGGCGUAAAGGGCGCGUAGGCGGGGAGGUAAGUCGGGUGUGAAAUCCCUCGGCCCAACCGAGGAACUGCGCCCCGAGACUGCUUCUCUUGAGUCCCGGAGAGGAAGAUGGAAUUCCCGGUGUAGCGGUGAAAUGGUGUAGAGAUCGGGAGGAACACCGGUGGCGAAGGCGGCAUCCUGGACCAACACUGACGCUGAGUGAGCGAAAGCCAGGGGAGCAAAGCGGG
rnacentral:rRNA from 1 species